UACACACGCGCAAUCGACGGGCGCGGGACGAAACGUGAACGCUCGGUUGUCUGCAUCUCGCAUCAUAAAUCUUUUCCUACUGGGCAAAUUCUGACAGCUUGUAAGACAAUGGACAGGCAGAACCACGACAAAGCCAAAGUAAUGUGGACGCCUGAUCGGAAGAAGCAGACAAACAUGGAUGCAUUUCGAGAAGACGUGAAUCGAAAUUACAAGUUGAACCUGGAGACUUAUGAUGAAUUGUGGAGGUGGUCAACUGAGAAUUAUGCCGAUUUCUGGGAAGCUUGUUGGAAAUUCGUUGACAUCAUCCAUUCAAAAAGUUAUGAUAAGGUGGUGGAUAAAGACAAGAUCAUUUUGGACAUCCCAGAGUGGUUUGCCGGGAGCAGGCUCAACUUUGCCGAGAAUCUGCUUCGCCACACGGACGACAGAGUGGCCCUCUACGAAGCAGCGGAAGGUAAAGACAGUGUUGAACGCAUCACCUACAAUCAACUCAAGGACCGAGUGGCUGUCUUGGCCUCAGCCAUGCAGAACAUGGGAAUCAAGGCAGGCGACAGAGUGGUUGGUUACAUUCCUAAUUGUGCCCUCGCCAUAGAAGCGAUGCUAGCUGCGGCCAGCAUCGGCGCUGUCUGGAGCUCGACAUCACCAGACUUUGGCGUCAUGGGCGUCCUGGACCGCUUCAAGCAGAUCCAGCCCAAGCUCAUCUUCUCGGUGGAGGCGGUUAUCUACAAUGGCAGGACGCACCCCCACGACAAGAAACUCCAGCAGGUGGUCAUGGGACUGCCGGAGCUGGAGAAGGUGGUGGUCAUUCCCUACGUGAAGCAAGAGUCCGAAAUCGACAUCUCCAACAUUCCAAACAGCAUAUUCCUCUCAGAGUUCCUGGCAUCAGGCCAAUCAGCUGAUGGCAUCACACCCCCUCUGGAAUUCGAACAGCUGCCCUUCAAUCACCCCCUGUACAUCAUGUAUUCAUCCGGAACGACUGGUGCGCCAAAGUGUAUGGUCCACUCUGCUGGGGGAACACUCAUACAGCAUCUAAAAGAGCACAUUCUCCAUGGCAACAUGACAAGAAAGGACAACAUCAUUUACUACACCACUACAGGUUGGAUGAUGUGGAAUUGGUUAGUGUCUGCCCUGGCCGUGGGUAGCGGAGUGGUGCUGUACGACGGCUCACCUCUGGUGCCGUCUGCCAAUGUGCUCUGGGAUCUGGUCGACCAGUUGGAAAUCAGCAUUCUCGGGACUGGUGCCAAGUGGCUGUCGGUGUUGAAUGAGAAGGAUGUCCACCCAGCCAGUACACACAGGCUGACCUCCCUCCACACCAUCCUUUCCACUGGCUCGCCACUGACUCCAAGCUUGUAUGACUACGUCUACUCCAAGAUCAAGGGGGACGUCUUGCUGGGAUCAAUCACAGGUGGCACCGACAUUGUCUCCUGCUUUGCCGGUCAGAACCCCACCCUGCCAGUGUACAGAGGGGAGCUGCAGAGCCGCAACCUGGGCAUGGCCAUUGAGUGCUGGAAUGACAAAGGCAAAGCAGUUUACAACGAAAGUGGGGAGCUGGUCUGUCUCCAACCGUUUCCCUGCAUGCCAACGCACUUCUGGAAUGACCAAGAUGGGGUCAAGUACAAGAAGGCGUACUUCUGUAAAUACCCAGGUGUGUGGGCACACGGUGAUUUCUGCUUGAUCAAUCAGGAGACAGGCGGCAUCGUAAUGCAAGGGAGAAGCGAUGGGACCUUGAAUCCAAAUGGAGUCAGGUUUGGAAGUGCAGACAUCUACAAACUGGUGGAGGACUUCAAGGAGAUCCAGGACAGCCUGUGCGUCCCCCAGCGCAGCACCAACAACGAGGAGCGCGUGGUCCUGUUUCUCAAAAUGGCAGACGGGCGCGACUUCAGCCCGGAGCUGGUUCAGCGGGUCAAGGUGGCCAUCAGGUCGGGCUUGUCAGCCAGGCACAUCCCAGAAGUCAUUCUCGAGACCAAGGACAUUCCAUACACCAUCAACGGUAAGAAGGUUGAGGUGGCUGUGAGGAGGAUUAUCUCCGGAGAGAACGUCCAGCAACGCGGAGCUCUCGCUAAUCCCAACUCCUUGGACCUCUACUCCAACAUCCCACAGUUACAAGGUUACUGAAAUGGCACUGUGUGUGAUUUACUAAUGACCAGUGUCGUGGUCAGGUCUGUCACAAGUCCAUUCACAAGCCCAUUUGCAGGUAGCAGGUUUGAGGAAUGACACGAGAAUGCUGUUGUCACAGUUCAGUCGGAUAAAUUCUCUUGAUUUGAGGCUGACUGAUUUGUGAUUGAAGAUCAGGGACAUUUGAGGACUUGCGACAGACUUGACCACUGCACUGUGAAAGGCAGAGACAGAAGAGGAGAGCAAAGGGACAAAAAUGUGUUGCUCUCAGUUGGAGAAACCAACUGUGUGUCAGUCUACAAUUCAGGUCGUUGUUGUGGUCAAAGUUACAAAAUAAUUUCAUAUCUGCAGAAUACAGGUGAUUCACAAUGCAGCGUGCCACCAAGAGGUUGCCAUGGAGAGGCCAUUUUUGCUGUGCAUUGUUUGGAAACAGUGAACAAAGUUCUUCAGAUGUUCCCAAUGUUUGUUUUUCUGGGUUGAGGAUUCAUACAUGUUUGAGUAUUGGUAUUUAUUAAUCAAGAUGGUGGUUUCCGUGAGGCAAGGAAUGCCCUGAUUAAGCAAAAAUUUCCUCAUGUUCUCUACUGACAUUCACUCAAUGCAAAUCACAGCAAGCCAGCAGUGUUUUAUGUUGACCAUAAACUUGAAAAAUGGCCUCUCCAUGGCAACCUCUUGGUGGGCUGCUGUAUUUGGAAUAAUCCAUAUAAAGCAUUGCAUGAUGUCCACUGGCAUAAAGAGUGCUGUUAUGUAAUCUAGAAGAUGUACUAGUUCCCAGGAGCAUUGCUAAUGGGAAUAUGUAGGUGUGUGACACUCCUUACUCAUUUUGUUUUCUCCUCAAAUUGUCUUAGUUCUCAUUUCCUUACACUGUCAGGUUCCUUGUGCCAGCACUGCAAAAAAACACAGUGUUGAAUUAACACUGUCUCUUGUGUAGCACUUAGAAAAAGGGCAUACGUUUGCACCUGUCAUUUUGAGCUUAGAUCAAACAAACGGUGGAAAGGUUUCUUCCAUACUUCCAAGAGACGCAGAAAUGUCAUUGUCCUAUAUAUUUCUUUUGAAGGGCACAAUCCGGAAACAAGUUGUCCAUGCUCAAAUAAGUUCACUCUCAAAGCUUUAUCAUAUGGUUUUAUUGUCUGCCUGGUUGUGGAUAUCAUGGUAUCAGAAAGCUGAUUGAAGUGAGCUUUUUAAUCAGAUUUUCUUUACUUGUAUUUUCAAUUGAAAUAAUGAAAUUGGCGUUGUUGGGGAGAUUUUUAACUAAUGAACAGCGCUGCUGGUAGUAUGCAUUGGAUAAAUAUUGUUAAUAGAUAUUUCACCAACUGUGAAGACAAACUAAACUAAUUUUGCCUAGAAAUUCCAAAAAGUCAAUUUAGUACCUCUAUUUUUGGUUGAUAUAUACUGCAACACUUUGGCCAUAUUUUUUGGCUGCUUCAUUAUGGAGUUGACCUCAGGAAGUGGACUGUAUUUAAUAGUUUUCAAAAUGUUUCCUUGUUCUAUGUUGCUUGGCUGCUCAUGAGCCUUGAUAUGAGGUUAUGAGGGAUCUCGCUCUCUCAAGGAGUUCCAAGUCGUGGGAUCCCCAACCAGAUCAAAGGCGCAGCAUGAGCCACCAAGCC
rnacentral:misc_RNA from 1 species